UAUGUCAGAGAAAGGAUGAUCUGCUUCAGGUGAUCCUGGAUCACAGAGCCAUGACCAUCUUGAUGGUUGGAUGUCAGGAGCAGAAUAUGUCAAUGACUAGCAGACAGGAAAUAUUUUCAUGCCAUCCAUAGAACAAUAAAGGAAGCCAAAUGAAACCUCUGCGCCUCGCUCCCUGAAUCCAAGCAGCGAUGCCGCUACCCCGUGUUAAGGAUCCGUUUCUGAUUUAGAAGGGCCUAGACAUAAGCUCAUGAAGCCGAGCAUCCAAAAGCAAAACUCAACAUCAAACAUGUCUCGAACUAUGACGUGUACUUUCCAAUUUACCCUCGGAGUGGGAAUACUUCUGUCAUCUGUAUAGCAUUUAAAGGAAAAAUGCCCAUUAAGGAGGAGAAGGGGCUCCCCUUGCUCCUUCUGUCCGUCCUCUGUCAGAAUAAGAACUUCAGGCCAUGCGCGGUGGCUCAUGCCUACAAUCCCAGCACUUCAG